GAUUUCAAUUCAAAAAGUCAUCAACAACAAAGUUAAAUAACUCAUCAAGAUCUAAAACUUUUAUUUUUGUUAUUUCUUCAUCCGACGAAAUGUUAGUAAUAUUAUUCACAAAUUUUACAUAUAUGUGUUAUAGUUUAUAAAACCAGAUAAGAGAUAUGUCAAUUUUGUAAACAAUGUUACUAUCACUUUGUCGUAUGAAGAAAUGACCAAAAUAAAAGUUUUAGAUCUUGAUGAGUUAUUCAACUUUGUUGUUGAUGACUUUUUCAGUUGAUAUC
rnacentral:pre_miRNA from 1 species